AGACUAGAGACAAGUGUAACACAAUGUCACCUUCUUGAGAUAAAAAUGGAACAGAAACAGCAACUCAAAAGUCUAGCAGACAUCUAAAGAUUGGUAUCCUUCUGCAACAUAACUUUACAAUUUUGUUCACAAUCAAAUCUUUGUUGAGAGUACACGAAUCAUAUAACCUAAAGUCAGCUUGCCCAGUUGAAUAUUAAAGAAAAGAGCUUACCCGUCGUUUGGUUUUGCUCAUACUUUCUUCCUCUUUCUGAGGAGAAACAUCUUUAGGACGCGGAGUUCUCUUGUACUUAGAUUUUGUUGAUCUUGAAGGCGCCAUUAGCUAAGCCUCUUCUAUACAACCUUUUCAAAACUGAAAUCAUGUUUAGUUUUACCAAAGAUUCAAAACCCAAUAGCACUAUAAAUCACAAAAGCUCAAUCCUACAUCUAUCUGUUAAUACAGCAAGCAGAAACCUAAUUGAUUCUACAAUUGCUUCAUCUAUCAGUUUCAACAGUACUUCCGCUCAAAC
rnacentral:lncRNA from 1 species